CUGGCGUCAUGCCCAAAAGAAGAAGAAGAAGAGUAGGUGCACGGGCCGGCCUGCGUAGCGCCAUAAACCUUACUUUUUCUCGUGUUUUCCUUCAAACUACAAUGACGAGAAGAUCCACAGCCUGUGAGAAGAAGGUGGAGAGUACAGUGGCGGCCAGGGAAAGGAAGAAACACCGCAGAGAAGCCUUCAUAUGACGAAAGUGCCCUUCCACUACGCCACCACCACCACCACCACAACCACUACCACCACAACCACCACCAAAUCACCACACUAAGCGUGAAGAUGUCAGGUCGCGACACGUUGGUCCAUCGGCGCACCUUCCAGAACGCCAACCAGGUGGUGGAGUUGACCACACGCACCAUUCCCAAGGCUCAACACCACCAGCGAGGACAUCAACACCAAUCACCACCACCACCACCACCUUUCGCUCAUUGGCUACAGUGAAGGUCGUGGCAGCCAAUCAGAGAGUGUACUGAAACUCCUGCUGUGAGCUACUCCUGAGGGCCAAGACCUGCACCCUCACCACCCCUGUAAAGGAUGCCCAGCUGACCCAACCCUCCACGGUGUGUGUUGAUGCUGGGACCAAGAAGAGAAAGAGGAG